CUCUCUCUCUCUCCUCUUCCUCUUCCCCGCGUCGCCCUCCCUUUUUCUUUUUCCGAUUUCUUCACCGUCCGGCGUCCGAUUGAUGUGAUUCCAGUUGUCCUUGGACCGUCUCUUCCUCCUCUAUACGAUGGUAUCAGUGGGUAUCGGUGAUUUGGCCGGAAAACCCCGAAUUUAUGCAAUCAUUGUUACUGUAGUAAUUUGCUUCUCCGGUGAAAUUCUCCAGUUUUCGGCUAUUUCCGGCGGGAAAAUUUGUUCUAUUAGGAGCGCCUCGAGUCACUGAUCAUCUUCCCUCAAGACUUCUAGCUGAAAUUUCCACGUUUGGAAGGUGAAUUUGAAGGAUUUCCAAAUUGGUGGGUUUGGAGAUUUUCGGGUUUGUGUUCAUCGGCAAAAUUGGAGCACUUGAAGGAUGUCGUACCGAGCCCUGGCUCGAUGAAGGAACUCGUAUACGUGAUCGUCGGAAUAGUACUUGUGCAGGAGAAAUUAGUUGAGGUCGGGCGUACAUGGAGUCGAGGCAUAGUCAACAGUAUGGCUUCCGCGAGUGCCUUGAAUUAGGUUUUCCUCAUUUACCUUUCUAUUAGUAAUCUUGUAAUGUGGGUUGAGACUGUUAUUCUUGAAAUUGGAGUUGUGUUUUGGGGAGCAGGUGGCUCCAGGAGGAUAAGGAUGGGUUGAUUUAGAAGUGUAAAUGUUUUCCUACAGGGUUUGGGUAGCCUACUUUAAGGGGAAGUUCUGCCAAAUUUUUUGGUAGAAUUUCUUCUAAGGUGGGUCCCGCAGGGUCACUCGGAUUUCGGGGUGAAAUCCGGGGCGGGUCCUGUCAGUUGCCGCUCGUCUACAAGAGUUUCGAGUUCAUAAUACCAACUCUGCUCUGGCUAGUGCUAGAAGAAGAAGAGUGCAAACAUGGGUGGCUCCAUCAGCAGGAGUGUUAAAAAUCAAUGUUGAUGGCUCCUUUCAUCAUAACACUAGGUCUGGCGGGUUUGGUUUUGUGAUUAGAGAUUCAAGUGGUGCAAUGUUAGCUGGAGGUGCAGGCCCUUUACGUGGACUGAUAUCAUCAGAACAUGCCGAAGUUUUGGCGUGUAGGAAUGCAAUUAACUUUGCAAUUGAUCAUGGCUUCGUUCCAGCUCUUUUGGAGACUGAGGCACAAAAGGUGCAAUGACAACUUGCUGCCCAAGCUAGCAUUAAUGCCUCGGCCUUGGGACGACUAUAUGAGGAUCUGAGUUUACUCUUGGCUCCUCAAAAUAUUUUGAAAGUUAGCUAUGUUAG